GAUGAAGACGUAGCGAAAUGCGAUAAGUAAUGUGAAUUGCAGAAUUCCGUGAAUCAUCGAAUCUUUGAACGCACAUUGCGCCCCCUGGUAUUCCGGGGGGCAUGCCUGUCCGAGCGUCAUUGCAACCCUCAAGCGCGGCUUGUGUGUUGGGCUUCGUCCCCCCGUGGACGUGCCCGAAAGGCAGUGGCGGCGUCCCGAAUGGUGCCCGAGCGUAUGGGAACUCUCUUCCGCUCGAACCGGCCCAUUCGGCGCUGGUCGAACCCCAAUUUUUUUUUACCGGUUGACCUCGGAUCAGGUAGGGAUACCCGCUGAACUUAAGCAUAUCAAUAAGCGGAGGA
rnacentral:misc_RNA from 1 species